AUCUUCCGCAAUGGACGCAAGUCUGACGGAGCAAUGCCGCGUGAGUGACGAAGGUUUUCGGAUCGUAAAACUCUGUUGUAAGGGAAGAACAAACCCCAUUUAACCGAUGGGGCCCUGACGGUACCUUACCAGAAAGCCACGGCUAACUACGUGCCAGCAGCCGCGGUAAUACGUAGGUGGCAAGCGUUGUCCGGAAUUAUUGGGCGUAAAGCGCGCGCAGGCGGUCCCUUAAGUCUGAUGUGAAGGCCCACGGCUCAACCGUGGAGGGUCAUUGGAAACUGGGGGACUUGAGUGCAGAAGAGGAAAGUGGAAUUCCAUGUGUAGCGGUGAAAUGCGUAGAGAUGUGGAGGAACACCAGUGGCGAAGGCGACUUUCUGGUCUGUAACUGACGCUGAGGCGCGAAAGCGUGGGGAGCAAAC
rnacentral:rRNA from 1 species